ACACUUGUCAGCACAUGUUAAAUAACAAGUUCCUCAUAUCAGGUCCUGCUUGAAUUAGAUUAAAAUUGCUGUUGGUAUCAAUAGUAAACACUUUCAGAAAACCCUUAAUGCAACACUUAAACUUUGUGUACUCAUGGAUUAUGAAGCAACUAUUACAAAUAUUGGGCACUUUGGUAAUUACCAGAAGUUAGUUCUAUGCUUGUUGGGCUUCUUUUUCAUGGCAAGUGGUAUAGAAACACUAUUAAAUGUGUUUAUAAUUUAUGUUCCAGAAUUCAGUUGUGUCAGUAACCACACUUAUGGAAACAUUACAUACAACAGCACAAAAGAUGAAUGUUACCUUUAUCCAAAUAAUGGGACAGGAUUUAAUACUACAGACAGAACUGAGGAAACAAUUGCCUGUAAAUCUUGGGUAUAUGAUAAAUCAGAUUUUACGGCUACAGCUGCAACAGAUAUGAAUCUUGUGUGUGGAAAAGCUGACAAAAUCCCCUUUAUAAAUAUGAUUUUUAUGGCUGGAAUGUUUACUGCAUCUUUUAUUUUUGGAUUGCUUUCUGAUUGGAAAGGCCGUAAACUAACAGAGUGUAUAGUUCUGGUUAUUCAGAUUUUAAGUUUAUUUCCACUCUACUUUGUCAAAACCAGUGAAAUCCUUAUUGUCCUGCGAUUCUUUGGAGGAAUGUCUUCAGUUGGUAUUUUUGCAACAGCUUUUGUACUUGCACUGGAAAUUGUACCUGUUGCAUACCAAACAAUUGUUGGUCUAUACAGCCAAAUAAUGUUUUCUGUUGGAGAAUUAGUUGUAGUAGGCGUUGCUUACUGUACUCGGGAGUGGCACCUUCUCUGUCUUGUGAUAGCUGUCUUCUCUUUCUUCCUUUUGUUCUCUAUAUUUGGUUUUGAUGAAUCUCCCCGAUGGCUAAUUUCAAUAGGGAAGCAAGACAAAGCUGAAGCCAUUCUUGGAAAAAUAGCCAAGAGAAAUAAAAAGGAGUUUUAUGUGAUGCUUACAGAAAAAACAUGUAAUAAAGAAGCUGUUGCAGUGAAUGGUAGUUUUAGAGAUUUAUUUAAAUCAAGAAUUCUUUUAUAUCGAGCUUUUAAUGUGUUUUUCAACUGGACAGCUGUCAACACAGUGUAUUAUGGUUUAGUGUUUGGGUCAGCAUCUCUGGCAGGAAAUUUGUUUGUGAGUACUUCCUUGAUGGCAGCUGUCGAACUAGCCUCAUAUGUAGUACUGAUUUUUCUUCUGAAAAAAACGGGCAGGAAACCACUAUACAGUUCAUCAAUAAUUUUGGCAGGAAUUGCUUGCUUUACAUCAGGAUUUGUAAAAAUUUGGGCAGCAGAUAUGGUUUGGCUUUCAACUCUUCUUUUAUUGGUUGGAAAAUUUGCAGCUUCAGCAGCAUUUGCUAUCAUUUACAAUUACACAACAGAACUCUUUCCCACUGUUAUACGUAACACUAUACUUGGUUUGAGUUCUUGCUUUGGAAGAAUUGGUAGCAUGGCAGCUCCUUACAUUCUUGUUGCUGGAGGACAAAUGAAGUCUAAAUUUGGUGUUGGUUUGCCUGUUAUCUUCUUUGGAAUUUUUUCUAUAAUAGCUGGUCUAUUAUCUUUAUUUCUUCCUGAGACUAAAGGUUGUAGUUUACCAGAUACAUUUGAAGAGGGAGAGAAUAUAGGACGGAAAGUGAAACAUAAAGUUAAUGGUGAAGACAACCAAGGAAUGGUUUCAGACUAAAUGGUACAAGGACUGAAGUUUUUGGGAAGGGAACUAAUCAAUUACAUCAACCGUAGUUGCUCAUCUGGCACUUACAUUUUUGACCCUGAAAAGAUGAAAGGCAAAGUUGACCUUGGUGGUAUUUGAACACAGAAUGUGAGGCCUAAAGAAAUGCUGCUAAGCCUUUUGUCCAAUACGAGAUAGAUGAGGUCAUGAUGACAACAGGGAAAAAUUGACAAAAGAAAAGAGAAUCCCAGAGAUGAUUUAGCAAACAUAUUGGAAAUUAGCAGACAGACAAAUCUAUAUAUAGAGAAAAGGGUGCCAAAACCAAAAUAUUAAUGAUCUCUUGCUUAUACCAGAGAUUUGAGUGAUCACUUCUUUGCUGACAUCAUCAAUCAUUGAGUGAAUUGCAUUUGUGUGGCUUAGUUGUUUUUUGUGUUUAGACACAAUGAUUUCUACAAGAGAUUUCAUAGGUGAGUUGUUUGCUAAUGUCAUCUCUCUCUAACAAAAUCUUGAUUGUGUCUUUAUUUUCAAAUGCAUUGAUUUGGGUCUGAUUCCUUGAUGGUGAGUUCAUUUUGGGGAUUCAGCCAAAUAUCCUUGCUAUAUAUCUAAUUGCCUUAUAUAUCA